AUGGAGGUGUCCCAUAAUGGAUGCAGCUCUUUCAGAGAUGGGGCUGAAAUGGUGGGCCUUACAGUGGCUUUGGAAUGCCUGUUCCAAGAUGCAGCUGCUUCUUAUAAUGUCCAUAUACAGCAUAGGCAUACUAAUUCAAAUUUUCAGAAGGUGAAGGGUGCUGCAUGGGGAGAGUUAUGGCAAUGGUUGCAGUAUCCCAAGAUGGAGGGUAGAAUCACUGUGUCAUAUUAUGAAAAGGUCUUCGGUGUUGGAACCAAACUUGUUGUCACAGAUAAAAGGUUUGAUGCAGACACUUCCCCGAAGCCCACGAUUUUUCUUCCUUCAGUUACUGAAAUAAAACUUCAUAAGGCUGGGACACAUCUUUGUCUUCUCGAGAACUUUUUCCCUGAUGUUAUUACGGUAUUUUGGAAAGAGAAGUAUGGUGAUAGGAUUCUGGAAUCCCAGCAGGGAGAUACCAUGAAGACUAAAGACACUUACAUGAAGAUGAGCUGGAUAACUGUGACUGAAGAAUCAAUGGAUAAAGAGCGCAAGUGUGUUGUCAAACAUGAGAAAAAUAGAGGGGGAGUUGAUCAAGAGAUUCUGUUUCCUGCAAUAAAGAAAGUUGUGCCCACAAUGAAACCCACAGAAGCCAACUUGAAAAAUGAAAAUGCUGUCACCACUAUUAAUCCCAGAGAAGCUGAUCUGGAAGUUGAAAAUGAUGCUCUGAGGUUGCAGUUCACAUACACCUCUGCCUACUGGACCUACCUCCUCCUGCUGCUCAAGAGUGUGGUCUACUUGGCCAUCAUCACCUUCUGUCUGCUUAGAAGAACAGCUGCUGGUGGCAAUGGGAAGAGCUCCUAACAGAUGAUGGCACAACACAGUCAUCUUAUCUUCAUAGCUUAUUGUCCUGAAAAGUGUUUGCUUAGGACCUGGUUGGACUUGUCACUGGGUUCAGGCUUCUUCAAUUUUCACAAGUAUUAUUCUGUCAUUGUUGCAUAAAGGUUUUUCAAACCAGUGAGCAAAUUUCACAUUCUAAUAAGAAGCCCAUGGUGGCCUGUAACCUCAGUGUACCCAAAGUCUCCAUUAGGCAUUCCAGCCAGCCCAAAUCAUCAAAGCCUUGGUGGGGACAGCAUGCAGUUUCUAGUCACAGUGUUUAGGUGUGUACAGUGAUGACAGAGAAUGGAAGAGCAGUGACUGAGAUUGGGGGUCUCUGAUGACUUCCUUGUUGUGCCAUGCUACUGCCUGAGAAUGUUUCUUUGCAAGAGCACAGGAUGUCUAGCUACUAUGGUAAUGCCCCUCCCAAAGAGACUCUGUGUAAUAGUCUUAUCAGAUUUGACCUUGAUCUCAGGCAUAGAGGAUCCCAGGGAUAGAGGAAUUCUCAUGGAAGACAACCACGAUGUUUCACUAUCUCUGCUACACCUAAGCCUUCCCCCUUAACAGCAACUUUAAACCAUGGCCCUACUUGAGUGCUACACAAAGCUCCUAACAUUUCACAUUGCAACUUUUGAAAAGCUACAUAGAUGUUUGUAAUCCUGUAACUUUCUUGAGCAUAAAAAAUAAUGCUUGCAUAGUCUUUAACUGGAUAAUGUGACAUAUAUAAUUAAAGAUUGCUGGCAUAACUCUUCAGACACUGCUUCUUCAUCAGAGAGCAGCUCUCCAUCUAAACCCAUUUAUCUUCAUAUCUGUGUGUGUGUCAUUUUUCUAAUCACCCAUUGCCCCAGGCCAGUAUCACAAAUUUGGUUGUGCUUGUCACAGCACUUAGGGUUUUGUAUCCUGAAACUACUAAAAGCCUUCCAUUUUAUACACUCAAAAGCAGCCUUUUUUGCAACUUGGCUUCUUUGCUUCUUUUUCAUAAUAGAUACAAUGAAUAUCAGCGAUUUAUUUGGAAUCAUGUGUACUUUAAAUUAAUGAAACUGAAUUGAAUGUCCAAAGUGAGAAGCAGCAUGACAGCACAACUCUACUUUAGAAAUAGUGGGGACCACACUCACAUACAGAUCACUGUUCUUACUUAUCUACAGAGAAGAUGAGUGAAAUGAAGCAGGGACAUAGCUUUUACCAGGAACCAGGCAUUCCAUGAACCUUCUAUGAGCCCUUUAAGGUAGGAACAAUUAUGGUGUAUAGUUUAUAGAUUGGAAAAUAUAAAUUUUCCCUUAUGAUCACUAUUUUUGAGGUGAUGCUCAUAAUUUAAAGCCAGAGAGACCCAGAGUCUGUGUAUGUACACAUAUGUAAUUGACACAAUAUCAUAUAUUUCUCUCUCCCAUUUUUUUGUCACCCAUUUUUAAUAUAACAAAACAAUACAAUACCAAAUGCAUGCAUCCCUUCUUUGGAGGAUCUCACUCAUUGGAGGAUCCCUUACUAAAGGCAUCCUCCAAUAAGUGAGAGGACUUCCUUAAGGGUUUGAGUAUAUUUGUGUUUUCUCUUCUUAUGUAUAUCAUGCAACUGUUUUGUCACUAAUUUCUAAAUUGUCUUCUUAUUUGAAUAAAACUGUGACCUACUCUGAAAUUAACAUAAUUUCUCCCUUUGUUAUAGAUGGAAUAGAAUUUCUGCUUCCCUUUUAAGUGUACAUUUGCAACUGCUUCUUUUGGGAAGUGGGCUUUGAGCCUUAGAUGCUCUCUCUGCAUAUAGAUAAUGCUUUGACUUCCCAGGUCCUUUCAUAUAUAUAUAUAUACAUGUAUGUAUGUGAAUGCAUAUAUAUUCGUGUUUCACCUUCUUACAUAAAGUUAGUAUACAACGUACAUUAUUCUGUACUCCUUUUUAUUUAUAAAUCUGAAAUCUCUUUUGAGAUCAGUGCAUAGGGAUGUUUAGAGAGCCACAGGUAUUUGCCUUAAAAUAUUAAAUCUCAUCUGUUCCCUCUGAUA